rnacentral:rRNA from 1 species
GAUGAACGCUGGCGGCGUGCCUAAUACAUGCAAGUCGAGCGAACAGACGAGGAGCUUGCUCCUCUGACGUUAGCGGCGGACGGGUGAGUAACACGUGGAUAACCUACCUAUAAGACUGGGAUAACUUCGAGAAACCGGAGCUAAUACCGGAUAAUAUAUUGAACCGCAUGGUUCAAUAGUGAGAGACGGUUUUGCUGUCACUUAUAGAUGGAUCCGCGCCGCAUUAGCUAGUUGGUAAGGUAACGGCUUACCAAGGCAACGAUGCGUAGCCGACCUGAGAGGGUGAUCGGCCACACUGGAACUGAGACACGGUCCAGACUCCUACGGGAGGCAGCAGUAGGGAAUCUUCCGCAAUGGGCGAAAGCCUGACGGAGCAACGCCGCGUGAGUGAUGAAGGUCUUCGGAUCGUAAAACUCUGUUAUUAGGGAAGAACAAAUGUGUAAGUAACUAUGCACGUCUUGACGGUACCUAAUCAGAAAGCCACGGCUAACUACGUG